rnacentral:misc_RNA from 1 species
GAACUGCGAUAAGUAAUGUGAAUUGCAGAAUUCAGUGAAUCAUCGAGUCUUUGAACGCACAUUGCGCCCCCUGGCAUUCCGGGGGGCAUGCCUGUCCGAGCGUCAUUGCUGCCCUUCAAGCCCGGCUUGUGUGUUGGGUCGUCGUCCCCUCCGGGGGACGGGCCCGAAAGGCAGCGGCGGCACCGCGUCCGGUCCUCGAGCGUAUGGGGCUUUGUCACCCGCUCGAUAAGGACCGGCCGGGCGCCAGCCGGCGUCUCCAACCUUUUUUUCUCAGGUUGACCUCGGAUCAGGUAGGGAUACCCGCUGAACUUACGC